GAUGAAGAACGUAGUGAAAUGCGAUAAGUAAUGUGAAUUGCAGAAUUCAGUGAAUCAUCGAAUCUUUGAACGCACAUUGCGCCCGCCAGUAUUCUGGCGGGCAUGCCUGUUCGAGCGUCAUUUCAACCAUCAAGCCCCAGGCUUGUGUUGGGGACCUGCGGCUGCCGCAGGCCCUGAAAACCAGUGGCGGGCUCGCUAGUCACUCCGAGCGUAGUAAUACAUCUCGCUCAGGGCGUGCUGCGGGUUCCGGCCGUUAAAAAGCCUUAUUUACCCAAGGUUGACCUCGGAUCAGGUAGGAAGACCCGCUGAACUUAAGCAUAUCAAUAAGCGGAGGA
rnacentral:misc_RNA from 1 species